rnacentral:rRNA from 1 species
UACGGAAGGCAGCAGUGGGGAAUAUUGGACAAUGGGCGAAAGCCUGAUCCAGCCAUGCCGCAUGAGUGAAGAAGGCCUUCGGGUUGUAAAGCUCUUUUAGUGAGAAAGAUAAUGACGGUACUCACAGAAGAAGUCCUGGCUAACUCCGUGCCAGCAGCCGCGGUAAUACGGAGAGGGCUAGCGUUAUUCGGAAUUAUUGGGCGUAAAGAGCGCGUAGGCUGAUUAGUAAGUUAAAAGUGAAAUCCCAAAGCUUAACUUUGGAAUUGCUUUUUAAAACUGCUAGUCUAGAGAUUGAAAGAGGAUAGAGGAAUUCCUAGUGUAGAGGUGAAAUUCGUAAAUAUUAGGAGGAACACCAGUGGCGAAGGCGUCUAUCUGGUUCAAAUCUGACGCUGAGGCGCGAAGGGCGUGGGGGAGCAAAACAGGGAUUAGAUACC